GGUUAAGCGACUAAGCGUACACGGUGGAUGCCCUGGCAGUCAGAGGCGAUGAAGGACGUGCUAAUCUGCGAAAAGCGUCGGUAAGGUGAUAUGAACCGUUAUAACCGGCGAUGUCCGAAUGGGGAAACCCAGUGCAAUUCGUUGCACUAUCGUUAACUGAAUACAUAGGUUAACGAGGCGAACCGGGGGAACUGAAACAUCUAAGUACCCCGAGGAAAAGAAAUCAACCGAGAUUCCCCCAGUAGCGGCGAGCGAACGGGGAGCAGCCCAGAGUCUGAAUCAGCUUGUGUGUUAGUGGAACGGUCUGGAAAGUCCGACGGUACAGGGUGAUAGUCCCGUACACCAAAAUGCACAGGCUGUGAACUCGAAGAGUAGGGCGGGACACGUGGUAUCCUGUCUGAAUAUGGGGGGACCAUCCUCCAAGGCUAAAUACUCCUGACUGACCGAUAGUGAACCAGUACCGUGAGGGAAAGGCGAAAAGAACCCCGGCGAGGGGAGUGAAAAAGAACCUGAAACCGUGUACGUACAAGCAGUGGGAGCACCUUCGGGUGUGACUGCGUACCUUUUGUAUAAUGGGUCAGCGACUUAUAUUCUGUAGCAAGGUUAACCGUAUAGGGGAGCCGCAGGGAAACCGAGUCUUAACUGGGCGUUAAGUUGCAGGGUAUAGACCCGAAACCCGGUGAUCUAGCCAUGGGCAGGUUGAAGGUUGGGUAACACUAACUGGAGGACCGAACCGACUAAUGUUGAAAAAUUAGCGGAUGACUUGUGGCUGGGGGUGAAAGGCCAAUCAAACCGGGAGAUAGCUGGUUCUCCCCGAAAGCUAUUUAGGUAGCGCCUCGUGAACUCAUCUUCGGGGGUAGAGCACUGUUUCGGCUAGGGGGUCAUCCCGACUUACCAACCCGAUGCAAACUACGAAUACCGAAGAAUGUUAUCACGGGAGACACACGGCGGGUGCUAACGUCCGUCGUGAAGAGGGAAACAACCCAGACCGCCAGCUAAGGUCCCAAAGUCAUGGUUAAGUGGGAAACGAUGUGGGAAGGCACAGACAGCCAGGAUGUUGGCUUAGAAGCAGCCAUCAUUUAAAGAAAGCGUAAUAGCUCACUGGUCGAGUCGGCCUGCGCGGAAGAUGUAACGGGGCUAAACCAUGCACCGAAGCUGCGGCAGCGACACUAUGUGUUGUUGGGUAGGGGAGCGUUCUGUAAGCCUGCGAAGGUGUGCUGUGAGGCAUGCUGGAGGUAUCAGAAGUGCGAAUGCUGACAUAAGUAACGAUAAAGCGGGUGAAAAGCCCGCUCGCCGGAAGACCAAGGGUUCCUGUCCAACGUUAAUCGGGGCAGGGUGAGUCGACCCCUAAGGCGAGGCCGAAAGGCGUAGUCGAUGGGAAACAGGUUAAUAUUCCUGUACUUGGUGUUACUGCGAAGGGGGGACGGAGAAGGCUAUGUUAGCCGGGCGACGGUUGUCCCGGUUUAAGCAUGUAGGCUGGUUAUCCAGGCAAAUCCGGAUAAUCAAGGCUGAGGUGUGAUGACGAGGCACUACGGUGCUGAAGUAACAAAUGCCCUGCUUCCAGGAAAAGCCUCUAAGCAUCAGGUAACAUCAAAUCGUACCCCAAACCGACACAGGUGGUCAGGUAGAGAAUACCAAGGCGCUUGAGAGAACUCGGGUGAAGGAACUAGGCAAAAUGGUGCCGUAACUUCGGGAGAAGGCACGCUGGUGUGUAGGUGAAGCCCCUGCGGGUGGAGCUGAGACCAGUCGAAGAUACCAGCUGGCUGCAACUGUUUAUUAAAAACACAGCACUGUGCAAACACGAAAGUGGACGUAUACGGUGUGACGCCUGCCCGGUGCCGGAAGGUUAAUUGAUGGGGUUAUCCGUAAGGAGAAGCUCUUGAUCGAAGCCCCGGUAAACGGCGGCCGUAACUAUAACGGUCCUAAGGUAGCGAAAUUCCUUGUCGGGUAAGUUCCGACCUGCACGAAUGGCGUAAUGAUGGCCAGGCUGUCUCCACCCGAGACUCAGUGAAAUUGAACUCGCUGUGAAGAUGCAGUGUACCCGCGGCAAGACGGAAAGACCCCGUGAACCUUUACUAUAGCUUGACACUGAACAUUGAGCCUUGAUGUGUAGGAUAGGUGGGAGGCUUUGAAGCGUGGACGCCAGUCUGCGUGGAGCCAACCUUGAAAUACCACCCUUUAAUGUUUGAUGUUCUAACGUUGGCCCCUUACCGGGGUUGCGGACAGUGUCUGGUGGGUAGUUUGACUGGGGCGGUCUCCUCCCAAAGCGUAACGGAGGAGCACGAAGGUUAGCUAAUCCUGGUCGGACAUCAGGAGGUUAGUGCAAUGGCAUAAGCUAGCUUGACUGCGAGCGUGACGGCGCGAGCAGGUGCGAAAGCAGGUCAUAGUGAUCCGGUGGUUCUGAAUGGAAGGGCCAUCGCUCAACGGAUAAAAGGUACUCCGGGGAUAACAGGCUGAUACCGCCCAAGAGUUCAUAUCGACGGCGGUGUUUGGCACCUCGAUGUCGGCUCAUCACAUCCUGGGGCUGAAGUAGGUCCCAAGGGUAUGGCUGUUCGCCAUUUAAAGUGGUACGCGAGCUGGGUUUAGAACGUCGUGAGACAGUUCGGUCCCUAUCUGCCGUGGGCGCUGGAGAAUUGAGGGGGGCUGCUCCUAGUACGAGAGGACCGGAGUGGACGCAUCACUGGUGUUCGGGUUGUCAUGCCAAUGGCACUGCCCGGUAGCUAAAUGCGGAAGAGAUAAGUGCUGAAAGCAUCUAAGCACGAAACUUGCCCCGAGAUGAGUUCUCCCUGAGACUUUAAGUCUCCUGAAGGAACGUUGAAGACGACGACGUUGAUAGGCCGGGUGUGUAAGCGCAGCGAUGCGUUGAGCUAACCGGUACUAAUGAACCGUGAGGCUUAACCUU
rnacentral:rRNA from 1 species